rnacentral:rRNA from 1 species
UACGGAGGGGGCGAGCGUUGUUCGGAAUCAUUGGGCGUAAAGGGCGCGUAGGCGGCAAUUCAAGUCAGCUGUGAAAUCUCCGGGCUUAACUCGGAACGGUCAGCUGAUACUGUUUUGCUAGAGUGCAGAAGGGGCAAUCGGAAUUCUUGGUGUAGCGGUGAAAUGCGUAGAUAUCAAGAGGAACACCUGAGGUGAAGACGGGUUGCUGGGCUGACACUGACGCUGAGGCGCGAAAGCUAGGGUAGCAAACGGG